rnacentral:sRNA from 1 species
GCUGGGUGUGGUAGUGCACUCCUGUAAUCCCAAUAGCUUGGGAGGCCGAGGCAGGAGGAUUGUGUGUUCAAAGCCAGCUUCAGCAAUUUAGCAAGGUGCUAAGAAAUUCAGUGAGACCCUGUCUCUA